rnacentral:misc_RNA from 1 species
GUUCUAUAUAAAACAACAAACAAAUAUAACAAUAGUCUUUCUUUAUUUUAAAAUUAUUCCUUUUUUUCGGUUACAUUAUUAACCUUUUUACAUUGCUUGGUGUUGUAAACAUUUAUUAUUCGAAUUUCGUUACAAUGUGUUUUGGUCCAAAGUUGGGUAUUCAUUGGCAUGGCCGAGGCUAGUUUAACCAGUCUUGACCCACGCUUGGAUCUCCAAUGAAUGGCCAAGACUAGGUUAGCCAGUGUUGGCCCAAGGUUGGCUGAUCAUUGGCAUGGCCGAGGCUGGGUUAACCAGUCUUGGCCUACGCUUGGAUCUCCAAUGAAUGGCCAAGGCUGGGUUAGCCAGUGUUGGCCCAAGGUUGGCUGAUUAUUGGCAUGGCCGAGGCUGGGUUAACCAGUCUUGGCCCACGCUUGGAUCUCCAAUGAAUGGCCAAGGCUGGGUUAGCCAGUCUUGGUUUAAGGUUGGGUGAUCAUUGGCAUGGCCGAGGCUGGGUUAACCAGUCUAGGCCCACGCUUGGAUCUCCAAUGAAUGGCCAAGGC